GUCAGUGUAUGCGCAUCUGUAGGAGGCGUGAUUGGUAGGAGAUGCGCGCCGGGCAGAAGCAGCCUGCGGGGAGGAUUCUCGAGCAAUCCGGGAGAUGGGUUAGGGUCUUCCUCGCCCCCAUGAGUAACUAGGUCCCGCGGGAUGGGACACGUGGCGCCCAACGUGGGGGCUCGAGGCGUGGACCCCUGCCGGACGGAGACCCCCCAGCACACGAUCUCCGGAGUGGUCCUGAAUGGUCACCGCUUCUCCACCCAAGAAGACGGCAAGACCUCAAUCUGCUUCUCUUUUCCAGAUAGAUGCAGAUCCUAAGAAGAGAGCUGCCCCAAC